AAAGAAGUAUUGUAAGAGAUAAACUCAAUCUGCAAAAUUGAAAAAUAAUAUACUCUUUA
rnacentral:tRNA from 1 species